rnacentral:lncRNA from 1 species
ACGAAUUGUAUUCGCACGUCCCAUUAAUUUUGUUGGGGAUGGCAGAUGGGGUCGCGGCCUUGUCAGGUUUGCUACAAGAGGGAGUUUCGACGGUUUGAGACCUUUGAGGGCGUGGGGGUUGCUGUAUGCGGUUUGGCAGCUGAUAUCCGGUUGUUUCUACUUUCCUUUUGGGUUUUUUAUUUCGAUUGCUAUUGUGAGCGGCAAUGGGUUCCGGAUGCACUUAGGGCGAUGGUCAGGCCGGAGCUCCUGCAGUUGCAUCCACCCUUUGUCGUUGUGUGGUUUGCUGUUGUUCUUUUGAGUCUUUCUAGAAGGGUACUCUUUUUCCUUGCUAAUGGUUUUUCCCACUGAAUUUUCCGUAGCAAGGUUUUAAUGAGGCCCG